UCCAGGUUGCUCCUUUUAGCAGAUGUUUGCAGGAAAAGAAAACCUUUUGAAAGAGGAAGACUUACCCAUUGGUUCUAUUGACUAAUGGAGGCGUAUGGUCAACCCCGAGGGAUGGACAAUGUAGUGUUUCUUGCCUGGACCAUGACUGACACAGCCAUGCUGUAGGCAUGUCACCGACUCUUCCUUGCUCAGAGGACAAAGCAACAUUCCACAGCAGGGGAACAGGACUCCAGGUUUCCACCUCUUGACACACACGUUGCACCCCCACACGCAGGCGGCACGUGUUGCUUCCUCCUCUGCAUUCCCACGUCACGUUAUCUGUGUGCCCAUGAAAGCGCCCAUUGCUGCUGCAAGGAUUCACUCCUGUGUCUCUUUUCCAACCAACCUUGGAAAAUCCCAACCGUAUCCUGUUUUUCAUUGUUCUCCAAGUACCUGCUAUUGUCCCCGGCCGGCUUAAUAAACAUUUUUUGAAUGACUACAUUUGCUUUAUGGACGAUAUUACUACUGGCUCUGUUCAUAUACACAAGAUUGCUGCAAUAAAUUACCACUUGGAUCUAUGCAGCUGUGUACAUUGUCUUCUGUUUUGAUGACUACUGCUUUGGCUUUUCCUCGUG